rnacentral:rRNA from 1 species
AGAGUGGCGGACGGGUGAGUAACGCGUGGGAAUCUACCUAGUAGUGGAGGAUAACUCGGGGAAACUCGAGCUAAUACUGCAUACGCCCUACGGGGGAAAGCGGGGGAUCUUCGGACCUCGCGCUAUUGGAUGAGCCCGCGUUAGAUUAGCUUGUUGGUGAGGUAAUGGCUCACCAAGGCGACGAUCUAUAGCUGGUCUGAGAGGAUGAUCAGCCACAUUGGGACUGAGACACGGCCCAAACUCCUACGGGAGGCAGCAGUGGGGAAUAUUGCGCAAUGGGCGAAAGCCUGACGCAGCCAUGCCGCGUGUGUGAAGAAGGCCUUCGGGUUGUAAAGCACUUUCAAUAGGGAGGAAAGGUUGUAGCUUAAUACGUUGCAACUGUGACGUUACCUAUAGAAGAAGCACCGGCUAACUCCGUGCCAGCAGCC